GACGAACGCUGGCGGCGUGCUUAACACAUGCAAGUCGAACGGAAAGGCCCUGCUUUUUUGGGGUGCUCGCGUGGCGAACGGGUGAGUAACACGUGAGUAACCUGCCCUUGACUUUGGGAUAACUUCAGGCAACUGGGGCUAAUACAUGAUAGGAGCUCCUGCUGCUUGGUGGGGGUUGGAAAUUUUCGGCGGUUGGGGAUGUACUGGGGGGUAAUCAGCUUGUAGGUGGGGUAGUGGCAUACCAGGGGUUUGACGGGUAGCCGGCAUGUGAGGGGGAACGGGCACAUUGGGACUGAGAUACGGCCCAGUCGCGAAUAGGAGGCAGCAGUGGGGAAUAUUGCACAAUGGGCCGGAGCCUGAGGAAGCAACGCCGCGUGCGGGAUGAAGGCCUUCGGGGUGUAAACCGCUUUAGCCUGUGACGAAGCGGGAUUGACGGUAAUGGGAAAAGAAGCACCGGCUAACUACGUG
rnacentral:rRNA from 1 species